rnacentral:rRNA from 1 species
AGAGUUUGAUCCUGGCUCAGGACGAACGCUGGCGGCGUGCCUAACACAUGCAAGUCGAGCGAGCGGAACUAACAGAUUUACUUCGGUAAUGACGUUAGGAAAGCGAGCGGCGGAUGGGUGAGUAACACGUGGGGAACCUGCCCCAUAGUCUGGGAUACCACUUGGAAACAGGUGCUAAUACCGGAUAAGAAAGCAGAUCGCAUGAUCAGCUUUUAAAAGGCGGCGUAAGCUGUCGCUAUGGGAUGGCCCCGCGGUGCAUUAGCUAGUUGGUAAGGUAAAGGCUUACCAAGGCGAUGAUGCAUAGCCGAGUUGAGAGACUGAUCGGCCACAUUGGGACUGAGACACGGCCCAAACUCCUACGGGAGGCAGCAGUAGGGAAUCUUCCACAAUGGACGCAAGUCUGAUGGAGCAACGCCGCGUGAGUGAAGAAGGUUUUCGGAUCGUAAAGCUCUGUUGUUGGUGAAGAAGGAUAGAGGUAGUAACUGGCCUUUAUUUGACGGUAAUCAACCAGAAAGUCACGGCUAACUACGUGCCAGCAGCCGCGGUAAUACGUAGGUGGCAAGCGUUGUCCGGAUUUAUUGGGGCGUAAAAGCGAGCGCAGGCGGAAAAAUAAGUCUGAUGUGAAAAGCCCUCGGCUUAACCCGAGGAACUGCAUCGGAAAACUGUUUUU